GACGAACGCUGGCGGCGUGCUUAACACAUGCAAGUCGAACGAAGUGGCGAACGGGUGAGUAAUACGUGGGUAACCUGCCCUCCUUUUUGGGAUAAGCCUUGGAAACGGGGUCUAAUACCGAAUAAAGGGGGAUGGGCUCGCGGCCUAUCAGCUUGUUGGUGGGGUGAUGGCCUACCAAGGCGGUGACGGGUAGGCGGCCUGAGCGGGUGACCGGGAACAUUGGGACGGAGAUACGGCCGAGAGUACUACGGGGGGCAGAAGUGGGGGCUAUUGCAGAAUGGGCGAAAGCCUGAUGCCGCGUGGCCGCGUGGGGGAUGAGGGCUUUCGGGUUGUAAUCCUCUGUCGGAAUCGAACCGGUAGGUGGAGAAGAAGCACCGGCUAACUACGUGCCAGCAGCCGCGGUAAUAC
rnacentral:rRNA from 1 species